rnacentral:rRNA from 1 species
UAAUACCCGAUAUGCCGAGAGGUGAAACUUAUAUGGCCAGAGGAUGAGCUCGCGUCUGAUUAGCUAGUUGGUGGGGUAACGGCACACCAAGGCGACGAUCAGUAGCUGGUCUGAGAGGAUGAUCAGCCACACUGGGACUGAGACACGGCCCAGACUCCUACGGGAGGCAGCAGUGGGGAAUUUUCCGCAAUGGGCGAAAGCCUGACGGAGCAAGACCGCGUGAGGGAGGAAGGCCUAUUGGUUGUAAACCUCUUUUGAUAGGGAAGAAGAGAGUGACGGUACCUAUCGAAUCAGCAUCGGCUAACUCCGUGCCAGCAGCCGCGGUAAUACGGAGGAUGCAAGCGUUAUCCGGAAUUAUUGGGCGUAAAGCGUCCGUAGGUGGUUAUUCAAGUCAGCUGUCAAAGGAUGGAGCUUAACUCCAUAAAGGCAGUGGAAACUGUGUAGCUAGAGUGCGAUAGGGGCAAGGGGAAUUCCCAGUGUAGCGGUGAAAUGCGUAGAUAUUGGGAAGAACACCGGUGGCGAAAGCGCCUUGCUGGGCCUGCACUGACACUGAGGGACGAAAGCUAGGGGAGCGAAAGGGAUUAGAUACCCCAGUAGUCC